rnacentral:rRNA from 1 species
UACGUAGGGGGCUAGCGUUGCUCGGAAUCACUGGGCGUAAAGGGUGCGUAGGCGGGUCUUUAAGUCAGGGGUGAAAUCCUGGAGCUCAACUCCAGAACUGCCUUUGAUACUGAGGAUCUUGAGUCCGGGAGAGGUGAGUGGAACUGCGAGUGUAGAGGUGAAAUUCGUAGAUAUUCGCAAGAACACCAGUGGCGAAGGCGGCUCACUGGCCCGGUACUGACGCUGAGGCACGAAAGCGUGGGGAGCAAACAGG